rnacentral:tRNA from 1 species
UAUAUGUUGAUGUAUAGAGCAUGAAAGUUUUUGAUACUUUAAGGUUUGGUGCGAAUCCAUUACAUGUAA